AGCGGUAGAGAGAAGCUUGCUUCUCUUGAGAGCGGCGGACGGGUGACCUAUGCCUAGGAAUCUGCCUGGUAGUGGGGGAUAACGUUCGGAAACGGACGCUAAUACCGCAUACGUCCUACGGGAGAAAGCAGGGGACCUUCGGGCCUUGCGCUAUCAGAUGAGCCUAGGUCGGAUUAGCUAGUUGGUGAGGUAAUGGCUCACCAAGGCGACGAUCCGUAACUGGUCUGAGAGGAUGAUCAGUCACACUGGAACUGAGACACGGUCCAGACUCCUACGGGAGGCAGCAGUGGGGAAUAUUGGACAAUGGGCGAAAGCCUGAUCCAGCCAUGCCGCGUGUGUGAAGAAGGUCUUCGGAUUGUAAAGCACUUUAAGUUGGGAGGAAGGGUUGUAGAUUAAUACUCUGCAAUUUUGACGUUACCGACAGAAUAAGCACCGGCUAACUCUGUGCCAGCAGCCGCGGUAAUACAGAGGGUGCAAGCGUUAAUCGGAAUUACUGGGCGUAAAGCGCGCGUAGGUGGUUUGUUAAGUUGGAUGUGAAAUCCCCGGGCUCAACCUGGGAACUGCAUUCAAAACUGACUGACUAGAGUAUGGUAGAGGGUGGUGGAAUUUCCUGUGUAGCGGUGAAAUGCGUAGAUAUAGGAAGGAACACCAGUGGCGAAGGCGACCACCUGGACUAAUACUGACACUGAGGUGCGAAAGCGUGGGGAGCAAACAGGAUUAGAUACCCUGGUAGUCCACGCCGUAAACGAUGUCAACUAGCCGUUGGAAGCCUUGAGCUUUUAGUGGCGCAGCUAACGCAUUA
rnacentral:rRNA from 1 species